GAUAGUAGAUAGACCACAAAGGUAUUCAGUUACAAUGAUUCCUGCUGUGAAAGGUGAUUGAAAUGGUGAUAGACAUUGUUGUGAAUGGCUCAGAUCAGCCUCUACCGCUACGCUUCCUUUAGUUUGUCAGAGCUCUAGCUGAACUUGAACCCCUCUUUGCUGAUAUACAAUAUGUACUUCCAAUUAUAUUGGGAAAUGAGUCUGUGAAGGACAUCUGUUCCACGGGCACUCUCUCUGCUUCUCUGUGUUUGGUAACUGGGAUUCUCCCCUUCUGGGUCUUCUCUGACAGAUC